rnacentral:rRNA from 1 species
UAGGGUUUGAUCAUGGCUCAGAACGAACGCUGGCGGCAGGCCUAACACAUGCAAGUCGAACGAGAAGCUUCUUCGGAAGUGGACAGUGGCAGACGGGUGAGUAACGCGUGGGGAUCUGCCCAGAGGUUCGGAACAACCAUUGGAAACGAUGGCUAAUACCGGAUAAGCCCUUAGGGGGAAAGAUUUAUUGCCUUUGGAUGAACCCGCGUAAGAUUAGCUAGUUGGUGAGGUAAUGGCUCACCAAGGCGACGAUCUUUAGCUGGUCUGAGAGGAUGAUCAGCCACAUUGGGACUGAGACACGGCCCAGACUCCUACGGGAGGCAGCAGUGGGGAAUAUUGCGCAAUGGGCGAAAGCCUGACGCAGCCAUGCCGCGUGAGUGACGAAGGCCUUAGGGUUGUAAAGCUCUUUCGCUAGGGAAGAUAAUGACGGUACCUAGUAAAGAAGCCCCGGCUAACUCCGUGCCAGCCGCCGCGGUAAUACA